UACGUAGGGGGCAAGCGUUGUCCGGAAUUAUUGGGCGUAAAGCGCGCGCAGGCGGUCUUUUACGUCUGACGUGAAAGCCCACGGCUCAACCGUGGAGGGUCAUUGGAAACUGGGAGACUUGAGUGCAGAAGAGAAGAGCGGAAUUCCACGUGUAGCGGUGAAAUGCGUAGAGAUGUGGAGGAACACCAGUGGCGAAGGCGGCUCUUUGGGCUGUAACUGACGCUGAGGCGCGAAAGCGUGGGGAGCGAACAGG
rnacentral:rRNA from 1 species